rnacentral:rRNA from 1 species
CUGCUGCCUCCCGUAGGAGUUUGGGCCGUGUCUCAGUCCCAAUGUGGCCGGUCGCCCUCUCAGGCCGGCUACUGAUCGUCGCCUUGGUGGGCCGCUGCCCCGCCAACUAGCUAAUCAGGCGCGGAUCCAUCUUAUACCACCGGAGUUUUUCACACUGCGCCAUGCGGCGCCGUGCGCUUAUGCGGUAUUAGCAGCCAUUUCUGGCUGUUAUCCCCCAGUAUAAGGCAGGUUAUCCACGUGUUACU